GACAGACAGUGCGGGCGUUAUUCGGAAUGACUGGGCGUAAAGGGUACGUAGGUUGCUUAAAUAACUAUGUUUGAAAAGCUAGAGGAUAACUGUAGAUAAAAGCAUAUCGAUUUUUAGGCUCUGAGUUAUGGAGAGGUUGGAAGAACUUUUAGUGUAAGGGUAAAAUCUAUCAAGAUUAGAAGGAAUUCCAAGGGCGAAAGCAUCCUUUCAGCUGUAACUGACGCUGAGGUACGAAGGCAUAGGUAGCAAACAGG
rnacentral:rRNA from 1 species